GGUAGCUCUGAUCUUGGUAUAGAGCUGUUUACUAAAAUGAUGAAUCAAAAAACAAACUUUAAUACAAUAUAUUUAAAUGUACUGAUAGGCCUAAUUGAAAAUGUGAAAACAUAGGUUACUACAUAUUCGUUCCCUUUUGGAGUUCGAACAUCAAUGACUAAAGUUUAGUAUGAUCUUUCUUCAAACAUGUACUAAUUAACUUUGUCAAACACGGUAUGGCUUAGUUAUAAUCAGUUAGUUAGUGUUCAAAACGAAACAAAUUUGGGAUAAACAAAGAAACAAAUCACUUUGAAAAUAAUUAACUCUGGCAAAUAAAAUCAGAUGAUAAACAAAGAAAAAAAUCACAGGAAUACUAAUUAACUUUGUCAAAUAAAAUCAGUUGAAAUGGAAAGAAUCUGUGGAAAAAUAAGUAAAUAAUCAAAAUAAACUACAAUAUGGCAACAAAUAAACAAACAAAUCUUAGUCAAAAGUAAGUAAAUUUGUGAAAAUAAACAAUUUAUGAUAUAUCAGUUAUCUUAAUAUUAAGAAAAGUUAAUGGCAAAAAUAAAAAAUUCCAUAAAACCUACAAAAGAAUAAAAAGUGAAAGAAUCGGAUAGACUCGGGAAGUAGCCUGUUUCAGGUACGAGUCCUAUAACUUACAAUCUUUUCAUGUAAUUUUAUAAAUAGAUCUCUUUCAUGGUCAACUUCUGAUCAUCAAAACAGAUCUUAGAAAUAUAAAAUUUUGGUUUGUUUGUUUUUGUUUUGACUAUACAAUCUUGUUUUUUUUUUAAGAAACUGAGUAUUAGAAAGAGUAUUAAAAAUGGAUUCCUUCAAACUGGUGGUUAUUUUCACUCUUCUUGCUAUGACGGCCAUUUCAUGUGAUUUCUUUCCUGUUGAAGCGGAAAUUUUUGUCCAAGCUGCGACUCCGAUAUGUGGACCAGAUUGUAAUGGUACAUUCUCAUUUCAACAAUGCUAUAACCAUUGUGUUGAAUUAGGUUAUAAAAGAGGUUUUUGCAUUCUAUCCGAACCUAUCAGAUAUCGUUGUUGUUGUCCUUCUAACUGAUCAAAUAUGUUGUGGCCUAAAAGUUUCAGAAAAAAAUAUGUUGUGUCCUUUAAAUUUAAAACUAUGGUAGUGUUAUUUUGUAUUGUGAUGAUCAAAUAAAUCUAUGAAUAA